rnacentral:rRNA from 1 species
GACGAACGCUGGCGGCGUGCUUAACACAUGCAAGUCGAACGAAGUGGCGAACGGGUGAGUAAUGCGUAAUCAACCUGCCCUUCAGAGGGGGACAACAGUUGGAAACGACUGCUAAUACCGCAUACUGAAUGAGGGGAUUGCGUCUGAUUAGCUCGCUGGAGGGGUAAAGGCCCACCAAGGCGAUGAUCCGUAGCCGGUCUGGAGGGAUGAACGGCCAAAAUGGGACUGGGAAACGGGCCAGACUCCUACGGGAGGCAGCAGUGGGGAAUCUUCCGCAAUGGACGAAAGUCUGACGGAGCAACGCCGCGUGAGGGAUGACGGCCUUCGGGUUGUAAAGCUCUGUUAAUCGGGACGCGGUACCGGAAUAGAAAGCCACGGCUAACUACGUGCCAGCAGCCGCGGUAAUAC